UUAAGUUCAGCGGGUAGUCUUGCCUGAUUUGAGCUCAAGGUGUCAGAUACCGCUGAGGGUAUGAUACACAUGUCCUUUAGAGACGCAUCCACACGACCGACUAAUAAACUGGAGUAUUAUCGAGCCACAAGUGUUGAGCACUCUAGAGGCCAGCUUGAUGCAUUUCAGGCGGUCGUUGCCGAGUCGCCCAGAUCCAUAGA
rnacentral:misc_RNA from 1 species